GCGAUGGGAUGCAUGCGAUGCGAUGCGAUGCGAUGCGAUGUGAUGUGAUAGACAGUGGCCGUGGGCAGAGGAUUAGUCACUUAGAGUGGUGGUCAGGAUCUAUGACUGGCUCCUCUGCCAUUCAGGACUGAACUGAGGCCUGAAUGGCAGCGGAGUCAGUCACAGAUGAAGGCAGGGCAAGUGUUGAGCAAAAGGGAUUGCAUUCAUUAAGAACCGCAUUCCAGGUAGAGCUAACAAAGGCAGAAGUUAUGAAUUGGGAAAGAGCUUGGAGGGUUGAAGAGACAGAAAGAAUGCCAAAAAGUGUUUAGCAAAAGGUGAGAGAGGGGUAUGGGUUGAAGUUUGAGAAGUAGGCAGGACCAGGACCUUGUAGGUAGAGCGUUUAUAUUUUAUUCCAAAUAAACUGUGAAGCAUUGAAGGGUUUUAAGUAGGUGAAUGAUGUAAUCUGUUUUAUAUUUUGAAAAGAUCACCCUGGAUAACCUAUGAAGACUGAACUAUAUAGAGACAGAAGUGAAAGCAGGAAGAUCAAUUAGGUGGCAAACUGCAAAA